AAGCCAUGUGAUGAAUUUGGAUUUACAUUUUCUCACGACGGUCGUCUGAGAAUCACUUGAUGCAAAUGAUCCGCUAUUUCUGAUGGUU